rfam:Physcomitrella patens subsp. patens PHYPAscaffold_612 genomic scaffold, whole genome shotgun sequence.
GUUCGCUGCCGCAUAGGCAGCUCAGAAA